UGGGGAAUCUUGCAAAAUGGGGGAAACCCUGAUGCAGCGACGCCGCGUGAACGAUGAAGCCCUUCGGGGUGUAAAGUUCUUUCGACAGGAACGAUAAUGACGGUACCUGGAGAAGAAGCUGCGGAUAACUACGUGCCAGCAGCCGCGGUAAUACGUAGGCAGCGAGCGUUGUUCGGCGUUACUGGGCGUAAAGAGUGCGUAGGCGGCGAGCCAAGUUUGGUGUGAAAUCUCCCGGCUUAACCGGGAGGGUGCGCCGAAAACUGGUUGGCUGGAGUAUGGGAGAUGAAAGCGGAAUUCCUGGGGUAGCGGUGAACUGCGUAGAUAUCAGGAGGAACACCUGCGGUGUAGACAGCUUUCUGGACCAAAACUGACGCUGAGGCACGAAA
rnacentral:rRNA from 1 species